rnacentral:lncRNA from 1 species
GUGUACCUCCUGAGCAUGUCAUUAGCUUCAUCUCUCUCCAUGAAGAAGACAACCCUGUCUUCGGGAGCAAGGCCUUUCUGCUCUACAAAACGAUGCCAAGAAGAGCGUAGAAGAACGGGUUUUGGGUAAGCUCCAGUCAUACGGGUUGAGAGACAAAACCUCCAUGCAUUAUCAGUAGCAUCGACUGCUUCAAAAUUCAUCAUAUGGGCUUCUUCAGGAAUUGGAAAAGCCUCAAGGACAUGGGUUGGAAUUGAAAGAGCAUGGCUUAUGUGGGAUGGUUUUAGUUUCUUCGUGAAGAGAUGUACUGGUUCCAUUCUUUUUCAGGAGAUACAAGAGUUUCUGUGAAGAGAGAAGGCUAGUGUUGGAGCAGAGAUUAGCUCUAUU